rnacentral:lncRNA from 1 species
CCUGCUGAAAUAUCUCUGUCAGAUCUCCUCCUACUGUCUAAAGCCUCCAGCAUCGAUGAAAUGCCCCUUCUCCCUCUACUGACUGGCUCCUUGACAGAGGUGGUCCUCCUGAACUCAGACUCUUCUCUAGCGGUCGCAGAGCCGGACCCCGACUCAUAGAAUGAUGGUCCAAAUCGCUCUCUAUAUCUGGCCAUCUCCUCCAGCCUAUACUGCUCAUCCAGACUUGCCUGAAUAGUAGCUUCAAUCUCUGUCUCCUCAUCAUAUGGAGAGAGACCUCCUCUGAUUCUCUAGAAUGAUAGAAAGAUGGCUCUCCAGCUCGACAAUCCACCUCUAACCUCUUCUCCUUUGUCCUCUCCUUCGCUGCUUUCUGAUCAACGAAGUGCCUCUUCAUAAGCUGUCAGACCUCCUAUGGAUAUUUUCGACACACAACCACAUUUCGAUAACCAUCAGUCAAAUACUGCUUCAACCUAAUCACCCUUCCUCUUUUGAACUCUAUACCGGACCAUUUGCAUCUCCAAUGGUGCCAAGCUGAGAGCAUCUCACCAUGCUCCCAGCCAAUGUCACGCUCUGCAUUCUUUUUCUUACUCAUUUUUGCAAGUUUAACAAAACACGACAGUUUAAUAAUUUUUUGAUAUUAUUUUUUUGAAUUUAAUUUUUUUAAUAAUUUUUUUAAAAUAUAUAAAUAUAUAUUUAAAAAAUUAAUAAAAUUUAAUAAUUUUAAUGUCAUCAUGUAGAUCGUCUGAUGAUCUACAACAUAUAAUGAAAUCAUAUCAAAAUGAUAAAUUUUAGCAUGAUUUUUUUUUAUUUUUCUAGUUUUUAGCAAUUAUUGGCUAAAAAAAUAUGAAAAAUAAAAUAUUUAGUGAUAGAAUGAAAGAUUACCUUACUUUCGAUCAAAAUUUGUCACCCCAUCAAAGAAGUUGUGGAAUUUUUCUAGAAUUUUUUUUUUUUGAAGGCCGUCGCUUUGUCGUUCGCUCUCAAGAGAGAGCCUCUCGGGUUUUCGAGAGUCUCAGACUCUCAGACUCAAGGGAGACAAAGGCAACCCACCCCCUCGAGCCCCCCCACC